CCCAACGCUAGCAGCGAGAUUUUGGAAAAUGUGAUGGAGUAUAGUCUAUAGAAAGAGGCACAUCAAGAGGCUGAAGAGUCUGCAGAUCGACCGGCACAGAACGACCUCGAUGCUUUCGAUUUCGAAUUUGUCAGAGUUGCUUCGCUGCUCUGAUCGAGCUCAUUAUGAGGGACUCCAGUUUGGGAACUGAGAUUUAACCGUGGCAGCAAUGCCUGAAACGUGCGGGCAUGACAUGGAAGUUCCCGAGAGCAAAUAGAAGAGUGGAGUGCCUUUUCCCUUGAUAGCAUGUUCUGUGUCAUUGCCAGGCCAUGCUGCAAGAAUGUCCACUCCUGGCGCUGCAAUAUCAGGCUGCCAAAAAAGCACAACACUGGAAUGUCAAUUUAACGACCAGUUCAGCUUUAAAACACAAAGCUAAGAGGGAGGGUUAAGAUGAUUUGCAUGCCUUGAGAAUACGCUUUGUGCUGAAUGAAGGACCUCUGGAUGAGGAGGCCACCUUGGGAGCUGGCUUAUAAUUUGUCAAAGACACUGUUGGAAGAAUUGUCCCAACUGGGUACCUUCAGAAAUUUGAAAGAGCUUAUCAGGGACAAGAACAGACUGAAAAUCACGGUCGAUGGUGGUGGCAGCAACAGUCAGAAUCCAGGGGUCAACAUUUGCAACUGUCUGGGGUGUGGGGUCGCUGUUCCCAGCAGAGCAGACCACAGUAAUGCCCUUCUCAACUGCGUGGAAUGCUCCGAUGGCUAUAGGAUCGGAUGAGAAAUCAGGUGUCAUAUCAUCUGACGAUCCCAGUGAAACUGAUAAUACAUCAACCACCCCAUCAGCUAUUGCAUCAUCAAAUGCUGCCAGGAUAGCAGAGCCACUGCAGCCAGUGGGUUUGCAGACACUGUAGAUAGCAAUCCUUGAGGUGGGGGAUCCGCCUUUGGCUGUGCCCAAUGCUAGGCCAUAGUAUGAUGCUCCAGGGACUGGGCUUCCACCUGUUAUCGAUGCAACAUGAGUGCCGUGGCCAACCUUAUCCCUCGGUGUACGAGUUCUGGGAUCGUUGUCUUCAGGAUCAUUGUAGUAUCUUGCUCCGAUGAGUUUCCUGAUACAAAAUGGAACAUCCAACAUGGCUGAGGUGAAUCACGAUCUGAAGGGGAAAACGAGAAUUUGAUCCCUGAGAGGAGUCAGCAUCCGAACGAGCAGUGGAAUCGAUUUCUAGAUCAGUUUAAUAUCUCAGGAAGUCCCAUUAUCAGGUCGUGUGGAGAUCCAAGACUGGAUCGGGGAACACUGAGACAACUUCUGGUCUUCGUGCUAUUGAAUCUGCCUCCUCCUUGGUCAAUCGAACAGCAAAUCCAGAGAAACCAUGUUUGUAGUAGUGCUCAGGGGCGGAUGUUGACGAUGGAGGAGCCGGACGAUAGAGACGCCGACGAUGGAGGCGGCCGACGAAGCUGAUGUCCAACGCAGAGAUGGGUCUGGAACAUAAUAUAUAUCUAUAUAUAUAUAUAUAUGAAGCUGUAUGUAUACAUAAUAUAUAUGUAGGAAACUGAUACAUAUAUAUUAUGUAUAUAUCUGUAUGUAUAUAUAUAUGUAUACAGGCUGAAGAGGCGGCGACAGCAAUUGGAGGCAGUGGUGGAUCUUGGUGGAAGAGUGGGGAUUGAAUCAGGGAAGAACAGAGAAUGGAUUGAAUGGGAGAAGAAUUGAUGUAGGAAGCAAAAUCAGAGAAGAAACCAAGCCGUCGCAAUUGAAGAAGCAGGGACGCCAACAACAAAGAGGGGCGGUGACCAAAGGCGAACGACUAGAAGCGCGAAGGAGCAGAGAAGGCGGCGGUCGCAACAGAGACAGCGAUGGCUGCAACGACGAUGGGUCUUGGUGGAAGAGAAGGAUAGAAGAUGAGACCACGGCAGCAGGAGGGAGAGAGAGGAAAAGAUAGAUCCAUUUCUUUUUUACUGCUUAAUGUAAUUUUGAUUUAUUAGAAUACCACUGCUUACUGUAAUUUUAAUUUAUUAGAAUGCCAAUAUUUGAGAAAGCAAGAAAAUAGCAAGCAACCAAAAUAUUAGCAUUUAAAAAAAAUUAAAAUUACAGUAAGGAAGCAAGAAAAUAUUUAACAACAAAAAGGAAAACAUUAAGCAGUAUUUAACAACAAAAAAGAAAAUAGUAAAAAUAUGCAACAACAAGAAAAAAAAAUAAUAAGUA